UUGAGCCGUGUGCGGGGGAACUCGCAUGCACGGUUCUUAGAGGGGGAAAAUCCGUAAGGAUCUACCU
rnacentral:ncRNA from 1 species